UACGUAGGGUGCAAGCGUUUGUCCGGAAUUAUUGGGCGUAAAGGGCUCGUAGGCGGUUUGUCGCGUCGGGAGUGAAAACUCAGGGCUUAACCCUGAGCCUGCUUCCGAUACGGGCAGACUAGAGGUAUGCAGGGGAGAAUGGAAUUCCUGGUGUAGCGGUGAAAUGCGCAGAUAUCAGGAGGAACAGCCGGUGGCGAAGGCGGUUCUCUGGGCAUUACCUGACGCUGAGGAGCGAAAGUGUGGGGAGCGAACAGG
rnacentral:rRNA from 1 species